rnacentral:rRNA from 1 species
AUGAACGCUAGCUACAGGCUUAACACAUGCAAGUCGAGGGGCAGCAUUUUAGUUUGCUUGCAAACUGAAGAUGGCGACCGGCGCACGGGUGAGUAACACGUAUCCAACCUGCCGAUAACUCCGGAAUAGCCUUUCGAAAGAAAGAUUAAUACCGGAUAGCAUACGAAUAUCGCAUGAUAUUUUUAUUAAAGAAUUUCGGUUAUCGAUGGGGAUGCGUUCCAUUAGUUUGUUGGCGGGGUAACGGCCCACCAAGACUACGAUGGAUAGGGGUUCUGAGAGGAAGGUCCCCCACAUUGGAACUGAGACACGGUCCAAACUCCUACGGGAGGCAGCAGUGAGGAAUAUUGGUCAAUGGGCGAGAGCCUGAACCAGCCAAGUAGCGUGAAGGAUGAAGGCUCUAUGGGUCGUAAACUUCUUUUAUAUGGGAAUAAAGUUUUCCACGUGUGGAAUUUUGUAUGUACCAUAUGAAUAAGGAUCGGCUAACUCCGUGCCAGCAGCCGCGGUAAUACGGAGGAUCCGAGCGUUAUCCGGAUUUAUUGGGUUUAAAGGGAGCGUAGGUGGAUUGUUAAGUCAGUUGUGAAAGUUUGCGGCUCAACCGUAAAAUUGCAGUUGAAACUGGCAGUCUUGAGUACAGUAGAGGUGGGCGGAAUUCGUGGUGUAGCGGUGAAAUGCUUAGAUAUCACGAAGAACUCCGAUUGCGAAGGCAGCUCACUAGACUGUCACUGACACUGAUGCUCGAAAGUGUGGGUAUCAAACAGGAUUAGAUACCCUGGUAGUCCACACAGUAAACGAUGAAUACUCGCUGUUUGCGAUAUACAGUAAGCGGCCAAGCGAAAGCAUUAAGUAUUCCACCUGGGGAGUACGCCGGCAACGGUGAAACUCAAAGGAAUUGACGGGGGCCCGCGCAAGCGGAGGAACAUGUGGUUUAAUUCGAUGAUACGCGAGGAACCUUACCCGGGCUUAAAUUGCAACAGAAUAUAUUGGAAACAGUAUAGCUGUAAGGCUGUUGUGAAGGUGCUGCAUGGUUGUCGUCAGCUCGUGCCGUGAGGUGUCGGCUUAAGUGCCAUAACGAGCGCAACCCUUAUCUUUAGUUACUAACAGGUCAUGCUGAGGACUCUAGAGAGACUGCCGUCGUAAGAUGUGAGGAAGGUGGGGAUGACGUCAAAUCAGCACGGCCCUUACGUCCGGGGCUACACACGUGUUACAAUGGGGGGUACAGAAGGCGGCUACCUGGUGACAGGAUGCUAAUCCCAAAAACCUCUCUCAGUUCGGAUCGAAGUCUGCAACCCGACUUCGUGAAGCUGGAUUCGCUAGUAAUCGCGCAUCAGCCAUGGCGCGGUGAAUACGUUCCCGGGCCUUGUACACACCGCCCGUCAAGCCAUGAAAGCCGGGGGUACCUGAAGUACGUAACCGCAAGGAGCGUCCUAGGGUAAAACUGGUAAUUGGGGCUAAG